GGGGAAUUUUGGACAAUGGGCGAAAGCCUGAUCCAGCAAUGCCGCGUGUGUGAAGAAGGCCUUCGGGUUGUAAAGCACUUUUGUCCGGAAAGAAAUCCGCCUGGCUAAUACCCGGGCGGGAUGACGGUACCGGAAGAAUAAGCACCGGCUAACUACGUGCCAGCAGCCGCGGUAAUACGUAGGGUGCGAGCGUUAAUCGGAAUUACUGGGCGUAAAGCGUGCGCAGGCGGCUUUGUAAGACAGAUGUGAAAUCCCCGGGCUCAACCUGGGAACUGCAUUUGUGACUGCAAGGCUAGAGUGCGUCAGAGGGAGGUGGAAUUCCGCGUGUAGCAGUGAAAUGCGUAGAGAUGCGGAGGAACACCGAUGGCGAAGGCAGCCUCCUGGGAUGACACUGACGCUCAUGCACGAAAGCGUGGGGAGCAAAC
rnacentral:rRNA from 1 species